GAGGAGGCGAUGAUGCUGAAAACUACCUAUUUUCUGAGGGAAAUCUCAGUGAUUACAAAACUUACCAAUGGAUCCUUCUGAGCCUCUCU